UACGUAGGGGGCAAGCGUUGUCCGGAAUCAUUGGGCGUAAAGCGCGUGUAGGCGGUUCGGUAAGUCUGCUGUGAAAGUCCAGGGCUCAACCCUGGGAUGCCGGUGGAUACUGUCGGACUAGAGUACGGAAGAGGCGAGUGGAAUUCCCGGUGUAGCGGUGAAAUGCGCAGAUAUCGGGAAGGAACACCAAUUGCGAAGGCAGCUCGCUGGGACGUCGACUGACGCUGAGACGCGAAAGCCAGGGGAGCAAAGCGGG
rnacentral:rRNA from 1 species